CAACUUUCAGCAAUGGAUCUCUUGGCUCUCGCAUCGAUGAARAAMGCAGCGAAUCGCGAUAUGUAAUGUGAAUUGCAGAUCUACAGUGAAUCAUGGAAUCUUUGAACGCACCUUGCGCUCCUCGGUGUUCCGAGGAGCAUGCCUGUUUGAGCGUCAGUA
rnacentral:rRNA from 1 species